rnacentral:rRNA from 1 species
UGGGGAAUUUUGGACAAUGGGCGCAAGCCUGAUCCAGCCAUUCCGCGUGCAGGACGAAGGCCUUCGGGUUGUAAACUGCUUUUGUACGGAACGAAAAGGCUCUGGCUAAUACCUGGGGCCCAUGACGGUACCGUAAGAAUAAGCACCGGCUAACUACGUGCCAGCAGCCGCGGUAAUACGUAGGGUGCAAGCGUUAAUCGGAAUUACUGGGCGUAAAGCGUGCGCAGGCGGUUAUGUAAGACAGAGGUGAAAUCCCCGGGCUCAACCUGGGAACUGCCUUUGUGACUGCAUAGCUGGAGUACGGCAGAGGGGGAUGGAAUUCCGCGUGUAGCAGUGAAAUGCGUAGAUAUGCGGAGGAACACCGAUGGCGAAGGCAAUCCCCUGGGCCUGUACUGACGCUCAUGCACGAAAGCGUGGGGAGCAAACA